AUAUACAGGAAUGUUGUAGAGAUACAGCAGCCGCUUGCGGUCUGUAUACAGGUGCUGCAUGGCUGUCGUCAGCUCGUGCUGUGAAGUGUUGGGUAAGUCCCGCAACGAGCGCAACCCCUAUCAUCUGUUGCCAGCAUUUAAGGUGGGGACUCAGAUGAGACUGCCGGUGACAAACCGGAGGAAGGUGGGGACGACGUCAAGUCAUCAUGGCCCUUAUGUCCUGGGCUACACACGUGCUACGAUGGCCGGUACAGAGUGAAGCGAAACCGCGAGGUGAAGCAAAACGCAGAAAGCCGGUCUCAGUACGGAUUGGAGUCUGAAACUCGACUUCAUGAAGUUGGAAUCGCUAGUAAUCGCGCAUCAGCAUGGCGCGGUGAAUACGUUCCCGGGCCUU
rnacentral:rRNA from 1 species